GAUCAUGGCUCAGGAUGAACGCUGGCGGCGUGCUUAACACAUGCAAGUCGAACGAAGCACUUCAUAAAGCUUGCUUUAAGAAGUGACUUAGUGGCGGACGGGUGAGUAACGCGUAUCCAACCUGCCCACCACUUGGGGAUAACCUUGCGAAAGUAAGACUAAUACCCAAUGAUAUCUCUAGAAGACAUCUGAAAGAAUUAAAGAUUCAUCGGUGAUGGAUGGGGAUGCGU
rnacentral:rRNA from 1 species